rnacentral:rRNA from 1 species
AGUGAUCGCUGGCGGCGUGCUUAACACAUGCAAGUCGAGCGAAUUUCAGCAGUGUAUCGCUGAAGUUAGCGGCAGACGGGUGAGUAAUACUUGGGCAAUCUGCCCUUGAGUGGGAAACAACCGGCCGAAAGGCUGGCUAAUGUCCCAUAAGACCACAGGAUGGCAUCAUCCAGGGGUCAAAGCUCCGUAAGGGGCGCUUGAGGAGGAGCCUGAGGCCUAUCAUGGUAGUUGGUGAGGUAACGGCUCACCAAGCCUUUGACGGGUAGCCGGCCUGAAAGGGUGAUCGGCCACACUGGCACUGAGACACGGGCCAGACUCCUACGGGAGGCAGCAGUGGGGAAUUUUGGACAAUGGGGCAACCCUGAUCCAGCGACGCCGCGUGAAGGAUGAAGGUCUUCGGAUUGUAAAC